UCCUUUCUAGGAAUCAUGCAGCUGC
rnacentral:piRNA from 1 species